AUGGUUUUCCUGCUUGCCGCACGUCCGCACAUGCUGCCCAACAAUGCUAGUCGACAGAGGUAUAUUGAAUUGUGCAACAAGGUGAUCAAUAAUCUCAAGUAUAACUCAGCAGAAGAGCUGGUCGCAUUAAUACGGCAGCGCGGGGAAGAGCUCAAUAGUCCUGAGACUGCUCAGACAUUGCAAGCUAAAUCAACAAUGGAUAGCCAUUCGCCUGAUGAGACUACUGAAACAUUGCAAGAGAAUUUAACAUUUGACAGAGCAUCUCGACUUAGCGCGAAGCUGAUAGGCAUGGCGUCAGAGACACCUGCUAUGGGUCCUUGCAUGCUGGACCUCAUCUCCGAGGUGUGGAUGCAGAUGCUGUGCUACACGAGCUACAGGUGCACACCAGAUUCCCAUGCCAGACAACUCAGCAACGGCGGAGAGAUCACAACCAUCGUUGCUAUUCUGAUUGAAUACAUGAAAUCGAAUAUCUUCAACUUCAAGCAAUUUGAUCCACACCAUCCGAUGAUGAUCCGUAGGGUGCGACAGCCCAAGACCUUGGGAACUUUGCAACGCAUGCAGACGGCCCAUAUACUGAUCGGAACACAUCUAUGUGGGGUACAAUUUUUUCAAGACGUUUUUUUUUACCAUACCCUGUAUUACUACUAG
rnacentral:rRNA from 1 species